CCUACGGGAGGCAGCAGUGGGGAAUAUUGGACAAUGGGCGAAAGCCUGAUCCAGCAAUGCCGCGUGAGUGAAGAAGGCCUUCGGGUUGUAAAGCUCUUUUACCCGGGAAGAUAAUGACCGUACCGGGAGAAUAAGCCCCGGCUAACUCCGUGCCAGCAGCCGCGGUAAUACGGAGGGGGCUAGCGUUGUUCGGAAUCACUGGGCGUAAAGCGUGCGUAGGCGGCCAUUCAAGUCAGAGGUGAAAGCCCAGGGCUCAACCCUGGAACUGCCUUUGAAACUAGGUGGCUGGAACACGGGAGAGGCGAGUGGAAUUCCGAGUGUAGAGGUGAAAUUCGUAGAUAUUCGGAAGAACACCAGUGGCGAAGGCGGCUCACUGGACCGUUGUUGACGCUGAGGCACGAAAGCGUGGGGAGCAAACAGGAUUAGAUACCCUGGUAGUCCACGCCGUAAACGAUGAUAACUAGCUGUUGGGGCUCUUUGAGCUCCAGUGGCGCAGCUAACGCAUUAAGUUAUCCGCCUGGGGAGUACGGCCGCGAAGGUUAAAACUCAAAUGAAUUGACGG
rnacentral:rRNA from 1 species